AAUCCAAAUUAAAUUCUGUGGAUUUUUAGAAUUGAUUUCUCGGUAUUAGGAGCGAGUACGAAGCUUGGAGAAGUUGUGGAAGUAGUUCGAACGAUUUUAUUUUCGAAAUCGAACGUUAUUUAGGGGAAUCUCAAAAAGUGACUCUUUAUACGUACUGAAUUUGGGAAAAUUUCCUUCAUGAAAGUUGUAGAGCUCGUCAAUACGAUCGCGUGCAUAUGUGGAAAGCAAAAAUCGGAGCUCGUAUGAUUUAGUUACGAUUAUUUGAAAAUUGGGAUUCUUUUUAGUUAAGAAUCUUUUUUGUUUCUUCUUUUUCUUUCUUUCUUUCUUCUUUCUUUUUCCUUCCUAUCCUUUUUCUAUUCUUUUCUGUUGAUGUUGGGUGAUGUUGUUGUUUGGUGUGCUGGUCAAAAAGCAAAGGCCAACAAAGGUUUUCUUUUUCUUAAAGAAAAUAGGAAUCAUGGUGCACUUCCUCUUGUCGUCCACUUCCAACUCAUUUUCUAUUCCCACUCCCACUCUCUCUUCCGUCUUUGUCUUCUUCAGUUCAGUCAUCACCCUCAUCUCUCUUUCUUCUUCUUCCAAAGCUGCUGCAAUUGUAAUUGCAAUUCCACGAUGCCACCACCACCACCACCAGUCGAAACCAGAUUAAGACACCGCCCAAAACCAAGUCUGGGUGUCACCAAGCACGGCCUCCGGCCUUCGUACGCAGCACCUAUGGCGGUGAAGCCACUGUUCCUUCCUUCUUUCCGAUUCCCGGCUGCGAUCUGCACCCACAUCCACAGCUGCUUCACUCAACGGACAAAUCUGGUGGCCUUCACCUCAAACCAGCAUCGGUUGAUCGCUGCAGGCGCCUCGUCGGAAACUUGACCUGAGCUGUUCAUCCUCUCCGAUCGAAAUCAAGCUAUAGGACUAUCAUGCUUGCGUUCUAGGUUUCUCCUUCCAACAAAACCCUUGAAGCCGAUGUCCACUUUCGUUGGAGCCACUGCACGCGCCGGCACUGGCAGUAUGGACCACCGAGCUCGGCCACCACUUUUCUUCAGACCACUUGUUUGGGUGAUCAAGGGUUUGACUUGGCGGACGAUGGUGAAUCGUUGAUUUGACUUUUUAGAAGACGCAGCUGGAUUAGAGCGGGUAAUCUCACAGGUCAGGAGAAUCAGGGCAGUGAUCGUGCGGUUUAGAGUAUUA